AGAUACCCUGUUACUUAUAGUUAAAAUUUUUUGGAAUAGUAAUAAUAAUGAAAUUUAACGGAUUUGGCGGCAAGAUAGCUAUUUAGAGGAACCUGCCCUGUAAACGAUAAGCCACGAGAUACUCUACUUUUGUUUGUAAUCAGUUUGUAUACCGCUGUUGUCAGUCAGUUUUCUAAGAAAACUUUCUAUCAUGAUAAAAUCAAGUACUUCAAGUAAAGGUGCAGCUUAUAUAAAAGAUAGAGGUGGGUUACAUUUAAAAUGAUUAAAACAGAUAAAGAUACUGAAAAUUCUUUUGAAGGUGGAUUUAAAUGUAAAGUUUAUGUAAACU
rnacentral:rRNA from 1 species